GUUAGUUAGUUAGCCAGUAAGUUAGGGCCAGUCCGAGCCUGGGCAGAAGGGGGGUUGUUUGGCCCUUUCAGGCCUCCAUUAAAGUGAGCAGCCACCAUUUUGUGGCUGCUGUGCAUGCACAAAUACUUUCUGCGAGGCCGAAAUGGCGGCCGCUUGCUUUUACAGAGGCCCAAAACUGCCAAAAAGGCUUCACUUACCCGGCCGCAGCGGUGAUGAGGAAGGCCGGCGGGGGGAGAGGGAACCCGCACGGACCCCCCCCCCAGCUACAGCAAGCCCCCCGAAGGGGCUACAGGAUAUUAUCUGCCAUCUAGAUAUGAGUUUGCCAGAAUGAACAUUUGCCUCCUCCUCACCAUGGAUUCCAGAAAUCCUGAUCUAAGAGCAUUGAAGGGGAUGCUGUUUUUGUUUGGAUCUAAGGCCCAGUUUCAAAUCCUGAUUUAGUCAUGGAGUUCCAGGCUUAGCCAAGCUAUCUUGGGCAGGUGACAAACCUCCAUCGUCAUGUUGCAGUGAGGAUAACUGAGAUGCAGAAAGCAAGUAAUACAGAAAUAGAAGAAGGAACCAGCACGUAGAGGAAGGACAUUCCAGUGUCAAGAAGGAGUCAGUGAGAAAGGAUGCACUUAGGAAUCUACAGUGUCGUUCUAAGUUGAUAGAGGAAAAGGGUACCAGAGAGGCAAAAAGGGCAUGAAGUAAGUAGGAGAAAGUAGGAAAGAUGGGGGGAGUGGGGGGGGGGAGUGGACAAGAGAGUGACCUAGUUUAAAUGUUAACAAUAGAUGAUUAAAAUAGGCUGUGUCAAGAGAAAGUGAACCAAUGCAAAGAGCAGAAAAGGAGGUGUGAUGGAAGUUACCAAUAACCAUCAAUUAGAUCAGGUCAAAAAUGAAGGAAAGGUUUUAAGAGAGUAAACAAGAAGAAACCAAGGUGAGAGAGUGUAAUCAGUUUGAAGGGGGGUGGGAUUAAGUAGGCAAGUUUUGUUUCCAUCCAAAGAAAGAUAAAGGCAUAUUUUAUAGAUAUUACAGAGCUGAAGAUGUCAAGAUUUAGUAAUCAAUCUGCAUCCAGAACUUUCCUGCCAUAAUCCACCAUUUCUUGUCAUACUGACCAUGUUAUACCCCUCCUAAAAUUCCUUCACUGAUUUCCUAUCCACUUUCAAUCCAGGACAAGCUCCUCAUUCUUGUCUCCAAAGCCUUCCAUGGUCUUGCUCCUUCUUAUCUCUUGCUCUCAUAUCUUGUAUUUCAUUGUCAAUUGUUAAUUGUCCAUUUUUGGAGAAGGCCAGAUAUACAUGCCAAAAAUAAACACAUCAAUGCAUGACUGAAACAA